rnacentral:rRNA from 1 species
CCUGCCCAAGAGAUCGGGAUAACACCUGGAAACAGAUGCUAAUACCGGAUAACAACAGAUGAUGCCUAUCAACUGUUUAAAAGAUGGUUCUGCUAUCACUCUUGGAUGGACCUGCGGUGCAUUAGCUAGUUGGUAGGGUAACGGCCUACCAAGGCGAUGAUGCAUAGCCGAGUUGAGAGACUGAUCGGCCACAUUGGGACUGAGACACGGCCCAAACUCCUACGGGAGGCAGCAGCG